AUUGAACGCUGGCGGCAGGCUUAACACAUGCAAGUCGAACGAUGAUUAUCUAGCUUGCUAGAUAUGAUUAGUGGCGGACGGGUGAGUAACAUUUAGGAAUCUGCCUAGUAGUGGGGGAUAGCUCGGGGAAACUCGAAUUAAUACCGCAUACGACCUACGGGUGAAAGGGGGCGCAAGCUCUUGCUAUUAGAUGAGCCUAAAUCAGAUUAGCUAGUUGGUGGGGUAAAGGCCCACCAAGGCGACGAUCUGUAACUGGUCUGAGAGGAUGAUCAGUCAUACCGGAACUGAGACACGGUCCGGACUCCUACGGGAGGCAGCAGUGGGGAAUAUUGGACAAUGGGGGCAACCCUGAUCCAGCCAUGCCGCGUGUGUGAAGAAGGCCUUUUGGUUGUAAAGCACUUUAAGCAGGGAGGAGAGGCUAAUGGUUAAUACCCAUUAGAUUAGACGUUACCUGCAGAAUAAGCACCGGCUAACUCUGUGCCAGCAGCCGCGGUAAUACAGAGGGUGCGAGCGUUAAUCGGAAUUACUGGGCGUAAAGCGAGUGUAGGUGGCUCAUUAAGUCACAUGUGAAAUCCCCGGGCUUAACCUGGGAACUGCAUGUGAUACUGGUGGUGCUAGAAUAUGUGAGAGGGAAGUAGAAUUCCAGGUGUAGCGGUGAAAUGCGUAGAGAUCUGGAGGAAUACCGAUGGCGAAGGCAGCUUCCUGGCAUAAUAUUGACACUGAGAUUCGAAAGCGUGGGUAGCAAACAGGAUUAGAUACCCUGGUAGUCCACGCCGUAAACGAUGUCUACUAGCCGUUGGGGUCCUUGAGACUUUAGUGGCGCAGUUAACGCGAUAAGUAGACCGCCUGGGGAGUACGGCCGCAAGGUUGAAACUCAAAUGAAUUGACGGGGGCCCGCACAAGCGGUGGAGCAUGUGGUUUAAUUCGAUGCAACGCGAAGAACCUUACCUGGUCUUGACAUAGUGAGAAUCCUGCAGAGAUGCGGGAGUGCCUUCGGGAAUUCACAUACAGGUGCUGCAUGGCUGUCGUCAGCUCGUGUCGUGAGAUGUUGGGUUAAGUCCCGCAACGAGCGCAACCCUUUUCCUUAUUUGCCAGCGGGUUAAGCCGGGAACUUUAAGGAUACUGCCAGUGACAAACUGGAGGAAGGCGGGGACGACGUCAAGUCAUCAUGGCCCUUACGACCAGGGCUACACACGUGCUACAAUGGUAGGUACAGAGGGUUGCUACACAGCGAUGUGAUGCUAAUCUCAAAAAGCCUAUCGUAGUCCGGAUUGGAGUCUGCAACUCGACUCCAUGAAGUCGGAAUCGCUAGUAAUCGCAGAUCAGAAUGCUGCGGUGAAUACGUUCCCGGGCCU
rnacentral:rRNA from 1 species